GCCUAUGGGUUGCCGGGCGAGAUGUAACCGGCUGCUGAGCUGGCAGUUCUGUGUCGCUAGGCUUCGGCCCGGCCGCCGCCACACAUAAGCUGCGAUGAGGAGCUUUACGACUUCCCGGUCUUCGGGGCCGGGCGCAGCAAGGGCCAGACUCUGCGCUAGCAGGCGCUGCGCGCCAACCGGCCGGCACCUGUCGCAGAAGGUGCAACCGAUCGCACUGUCGCGCAGAAGCUCCUCAAUGGCCAGCACCAGCUGCAGCCCCGGCCGCCCACUCGCCUCACUUGAGCCUGUCUGGCAGCCUGCUAUCAAUUAUAUUGAUAGUAAAUUUGAGGACUACCUAAAUGCAGAAUCGCGAGUGAACAGAUGUCAGAUGCCUGGUAACAGGGUGCAGUGUUGUUUAUACUUCAUUGCUCCUUCAGGACAUGGACUCCCACCUUCAGGCAGGAUUGGGUAGUACAUGUUUGUAACUACCUGGCAUUGCCUUUUGUUGAGAUUUUUGGAUAAUUCAGAAAUGUUCAUUAUUUGAGAGGAACUCAGUCCCUACCCUUCUCCCACUCCAACUCCUUUCAAGACAAGAGAUCAGUAUUUGACAACUCUAACUCUGAAAAUAAGAAUAGUCUUAUUCCAGGGCCAGACCCAAAGGCUCAAUGUGAAAGUUCCUGGACUCAGAGGUGUCACGUAAGAAAGUGAGUGGAAACUUGGGAGUAUGGCUGUCCCAUGAAGAGCUCACCCUCUGGAAAACAGAAAAGGGUCCUAAUCUUGGAGGUUUGACACUCAUCAUAAUGUGGGAAUGACAGCUAGAAAAAAACGGUGAACUCCAGGAAGGCUUGAAGGCAUUGGAGCAAGGCCAGCAGCCUCUCCCUCCCACCAUCACUUCCAUGAGAACCACGUAAGAAAGACCUAGUUUCUUGUUAUCUCUAGAGACCUGGCACCUUUCACUGAAGAAUUUGCUUUCAAGCUGCUGCAAACUUUGAACAAUUGUCUGACCUACUAAAAGUAACAGAGAAAGACAGAACUCUAGAUGACUGAAGAAAUCAUGUAUUUAAGUUAUUAAAAUGUAUUAUGUAUAGGACAGUUAUCAUGAUACUA
ensembl:lncRNA SEPTIN7P9 septin 7 pseudogene 9